rnacentral:rRNA from 1 species
UACGUAGGGGGCAAGCGUUGUCCGGAUUUACUGGGCGUAAAGAGCGUGUAGGCGGCCACGCAGGUCCGUUGUGAAAACUGGAGGCUCAACCUCCAGCUGUCGACGGAAACCGUAUGGCUAGAGUCCGGAAGAGGAGAGUGGAAUUCCUGGUGUAGCGGUGAAAUGCGCAGAUAUCAGGAAGAACACCGAUGGCGAAGGCAGGUCUCUGGGCCACUACUGACGCUGAGAAGCGAAAGCAUGGGGAGCGAACAGG